CUAACUGCCAAGCCCAAGUUCUUAUCAGGUGCCUCUCCCACCUCCUCACUCAGCUUCUAAAACUGCCCCCCUCUUAGUUCCACUCUCUCACUCCAUGGAGUAGAAGGCAUUUUGUGUGACUUGCAAGUCUCAGAGAAGCCAGGCCCAGCUCCUGGGCUGUGCUCAGCCCCACCGGGGGCACCUGAGCCCCAGGCAUAGCUCGUCCAGCCCUAGACUUACCCUUGGCCGGCCGAGCUCAACAGCCUUGGGCGGUAGGAUGUCCUGACUGUCCUUAGCGGCUCUUGCCUUGAAGGAAGAGUUGAGGCAACACAGGUCUGGCAGCCGCAAGCCCAGGAUCAAGGUGUUGGCGGAUCUGAAGGCUACUGAACGAUUGUCUUCCUGGCUUGUAGGCGGCCUCUCCUUGUUAUGACAUACAUCAUAAGGCUGGGCUCAGCUGCUCACACUUGGAAUCUCAGCACUUUGGAAGGCCAAGGUGGGAAGAUCGCUGGAAUCCAGGCAUUCGAGACCACCCUGGGCAACAUGGCAAAAUAAAAAAUACAAAAAUUAGCCAGGUGUGGUGGCGUGCACCUGUGGUCCCAGUUCCUAGGGAGGCUGAGGUGGGAGGAUCACUUGAGACUCACUGCAGGACUUCGAGACUGCAGUGAGCCAUGAUUGUGCCACUGCACUCCAGCCUGGGUGAUGGAGCAAGACUCUGUCUCUAAAUAAGUAAAUGAAUGAUGUCAUAAGAUCACAUCCUCCAGCCGGGCGCGGUGGCUC
rnacentral:lncRNA from 1 species